rnacentral:lncRNA from 10 species
GCAGAGUUGGAAUUUAACACCACCGUUUCUGAAAACCCACAUCUUUAAGGCCAGGUUGCCUCAUUCUGUUCCGAGUUGGGGAUGACAUUGCGAAGCCUGAUGGAUGAUGAAGAAGACAGGUUCAAAGAGAAUAAUUAAUUUCCCCAAACUCAUACAAACAUUGGCAGAGAUGAAAAUACAUUAUGUGAUUCCCAAAUCUAUGGCUUUACAUGGUACUAGAGGAUCAGUUGAAAGGCAUGGAAAUUAGGUAAGAAUGACAAAAGGUAAGUCACAUUGCCUUCAUUCUGAAGUCUACGUUUUAUUGCUCUUUCUUGACAAUUUCUUUGUCUCCCUGCCGUCUCUUUCUCACAUUUAUUUCUUUCCAAAGUCAUUUUACAUUUUCUUAGUCCAUCUCUCUGAUUCCAAAAGAAGAUAAACAUAUAAGACAUACAAGAUGAAUGCCACCUGUAUUUCCAAUCUUCCUUUGUUUCCUUUU